AGAGCACCAGGUGUACAUCACCGUCCUUUGAGGAGGGUGGCAAAAAGAACGAGGAGAAGACCUGAACACUUUGGUCCUGGUGAACUCUACUUCAGUGCAGGAAGUGGCACGAACCACGACGGGAAGGACCGUACACGGUGGUGCGAGCUACUCCCACAGCAGUCCAGGUCGAAGGGAGCGGGACGUGGUAUCACCUGUCGCGCUGCACGAAGGUUCCAGGCAAAACCAAGGGCGGUAUUGAGUUGAAAAACAA